rnacentral:rRNA from 1 species
UCGAGAAUCUUUGGCAAUGGGCGCAAGCCUGACCAAGCGAUGCCGCGUGCGGGAUGAAGACCCUCGGGUUGUAAACCGCUGUCGAGGGGGAUGAAGUUACGGUGGGUACUCCCAUCGUAUUGACAGAUCCCUGGAGGAAGGGUGGGCUAAGUUCGUGCCAGCAGCCGCGGUAAGACGAACCACCCAAACGUUAUUCGGAAUUACUGGGCUUAAAGAGUGCGUAGGCGGCCUGGAAAGUAAGGUGUGAAAU